rnacentral:rRNA from 1 species
UUUAAUUGAAGAGUUUGAUCAUGGCUCAGAUUGAACGCUGGCGGCAGGCCUAACACAUGCAAGUCGAGCGGAAACGAAGAGGUGCUUGCACCUUUGGCGUCGAGCGGCGGACGGGUGAGUAAUGCUUGGGAAUAUGCCUUAUGGUGGGGGACAACAGUUGGAAACGACUGCUAAUACCGCAUGAUGUCUACGGACCAAAGUGGGGGACCUUCGGGC